AUUGAUCGCUGGCGGCAUGCCCUACACAUGCAAGUCGAACGGCAGCGCGGACUUCGGUCUGGCGGCGAGUGGCGAACGGGUGAGUAAUACAUCGGAACGUACCCUGUUGUGGGGGAUAACUAGUCGAAAGAUUAGCUAAUACCGCAUACGACCUGAGGGUGAAAGUGGGGGACCGCAAGGCCUCACGCAGCAGGAGCGGCCGAUGUCUGAUUAGCUAGUUGGUGGGGUAAAGGCCCACCAAGGCGACGAUCAGUAGCUGGUCUGAGAGGACGGUCAGCCACACUGGGACUGAGACACGGCCCAGACUCCUACGGGAGGCAGCAGUGGGGGAUUUUGGACAAUGGGGCAACCCUGAUCCAGCAAUGCCGCGUGUGUGAAGAAGGCCUUCGGGUUGUAAAGCACUUUUGUCCGGAAAGAAAUCGCGCUGGUUAAUACCUGGCGUGGAUGACGGUACCGGAAGAAUAAGCACCGGCUAACUACGUGCCAGCAGCCGCGGUAA
rnacentral:rRNA from 1 species